ensembl:miRNA microRNA let7g
CCAGGCUGAGGUAGUAGUUUGUACAGUUUGAGGGUCUAUAAUACCACCCGGUACAGGAGAUAACUGUACAGGCCACUGCCUUGCCAGG